UACAGAGGUCCCAAGCGUUGUUCGGAUUCACUGGGCGUAAAGGGUGCGUAGGUGGCAGGGUAAGUUUGAUGUGAAAUCUCCGAGCUCAACUCGGAAACUGCAUUGAAUACUAUCCUGCUUGAGGAUUGGAGGGGAGACUGGAAUUCUCGGUGUAGCAGUGAAAUGCGUAGAUAUCGAGAGGAACACCAGUGGCGAAGGCGGCAUCCUGGACCGGCAUUGACGCUGAGUGAGCGAAAGCCAGGGGAGCAAACGGG
rnacentral:rRNA from 1 species